AGCGAACGCUGGCGGCAGGCCUAACACAUGCAAGUCGAACGAACUCUUCGGAGUUAGUGGCGGACGGGUGAGUAACACGUGGGAACGUGCCUUUAGGUUCGGAAUAACUCAGGGAAACUUGUGCUAAUACCGAAUGUGCCCUUCGGGGGAAAGAUUUAUCGCCUUUAGAGCGGCCCGCGUCUGAUUAGCUAGUUGGUGAGGUAAUGGCUCACCAAGGCUACGAUCAGUAGCUGGUCUGAGAGGAUGACCAGCCACACUGGGACUGGGACACGGCCCAAACUCCUACGGGAGGCAGCAGUGGGGAAUCUUGCGCAAUGGGCGAAAGCCUGACGCAGCCAUGCCGCGUGGAUGAUGAAGGUCUUAGGAUUGUAAAAUCCUUUCACCGGUGAAGAUAAUGACUGUAGCCGGAGAAGAAGCCCCGGCUAACUUCGUGCCAGCCGCCGCAGUAAGAC
rnacentral:rRNA from 1 species